GAAGAGAAAAAAGGAUGAGCUUUAUAACAGCACAAAAAAAUCACAGCAUUCAUUAGUGUAAUGUUAGUUACAGGGUCAAGGUAUCCAUAGGUGGGAUGUGGAGCAAGCAGUAACCAAUAGGAAAGAACAAAUUUUGAAGAAAAAACAUGCAGAAAUUUUUAAAAAGUUACCAAAAGUGAAUUAUUACAUAGGGUCUUGAUUUUCUUUUUUCUAAUUUUCUUACUUUUCUUUCUUAAAAUUGUCCGUUUUUAAUUAUUUUUAAAAUUAGAAAUUUUCCUUAUACACUGAAAAUGAGUUUCAUUUCAAAUGUUUAAAGAGAAAUAAUGAACAGUAAUGCCCGAUUCCUCUUAUUUAUUGUUCUUUGAGGCUCAAGCAGAGAGAGACCUGUCCUUCAAAGUUCUGCAUCAGGUAGCAAUAGGUGGGAUGUGGAGCAAGCAGUAACCAAGAACAUAACCACGGGGGUCUGUGCCGGUGAGUUUCUACCUUGUCCUUGUAGCUGAGUUU
rnacentral:lncRNA from 1 species